GACGGACGCUGGCGGCGUGCUUAACACAUGCAAGUCGAACGGAAAGGCCCUGCUUUUGUGGGGUGCUCGAGUGGCGAACGGGUGAGUAACACGUGAGUAACCUGCCCUUGACUUUGGGAUAACUUCAGGAAACUGGGGCUAAUACCGGAUAGGAGCUCCUGCUGCAUGGUGGGGGUUGGAAAGUUUCGGCGGUUGGGGAUGGACUCGCGGCUUAUCAGCUUGUUGGUGGGGUAGUGGCUUACCAAGGCGUUGACGGGUAGCCGGCCUGAGAGGGUGACCGGCCACAUUGGGACUGAGAUACGGCCCAGACUCCUACGGGAGGCAGCAGUGGGGAAUAUUGCACAAUGGGCGGAAGCCUGAUGCAGCAACGCCGCGUGCGGGAUGACGGCCUUCGGGUUGUAAACCGCUUUCGCCUGUGACGAAGCGUGAGUGACGGUAAUGGGUAAAGAAGCACCGGCUAACUACGUG
rnacentral:rRNA from 1 species